rnacentral:rRNA from 1 species
GUGUUCCGCCUGGGGAGUACGGUCGCAAGAUUAAAACUCAAAGGAAUAGACGGGGACCCGCACAAGUGGUGGAGCAUGUGGUUUAAUUCGAAGAUACGCGAAAAACCUUACCUGUCCUUGACAUUGAUAGAAUCUUCCAGAGAUGGAGGAGUGCCCUUCGGGGAGCUUGAAAACAGGUGCUGCACGGCUGUCGUCAGCUCGUGUCGUGAGAUGUUGGGUUAAGUCCCGCAACGAGCGCAACCCUCGUCCUUAGUUGCCAGCACUUUAAGGUGGGCACUCUAAGGAGACUGCCUUCGCAAGGAGGAGGAAGGUGAGGACGACGUCAAGUCAUCAUGGCCCUUACGGCCAGGGCUACACACGUGCUACAAUGGGGCGUACAGAGAGUUGCAAUACCGCGAGGUGGAGCCAAUCUCAUAAAGCGUCUCUCAGUUCGGAUUGUUCUCUGCAACUCGAGAGCAUGAAGCUGGAAUCACUAGUAAUCGUAGAUCAGCAUUGCUACGGUGAAUACGUUCCCGGGUCUUGCACACACCGCCCGU